ensembl:lncRNA
AAGACUGAGACCAGCCAGAUUCAGAAGACUGUGAGCUGCCUAAAGCCGCAACCAAACAGCUUUCCAAACAAUGAUCUGGACCUGAAACAUCCAGAGCCUGAAAGGGAUCUUGAUGAAGAAAUGCCUCAGCAAGGCUCAGAAGCCAUGCAUUCUUCUUCAGUGCAAGAUUUUGAAGAGACUGAGACCAGCCAGAUUCAGAAGACUGUGAGCUGCCUAAAGCCGCAACCAAACAGCUUUCCAAACAAUGAUCUGGACCUGAAACAUCCAGAGCCUGAAAGGUGUCACAAUCAUCGUCUGGUGUGCACAACAAUAUCAUCUUUGGACAAGUGCAUUCAGUGUGUGGGACUGGUUUCCUCCCUCAAGUGGCUUGGCUAUAAGUGCAAAGAUGAAAUUGCAUUAAGUGAUGCUGAAACAAAGGACAGUGAGAGUGAAUCAGAUGAUGAUGACACAGCACUCACAAUGUCGGCGUGUGGCACCAGUGAGCCUGUACAUGCAGUAGCUGAUUCCACAAACACAGCGCAGCUCCAAGACACUGUAGAUUGUGAUGAAGGACCACUCACAAUGCCUGCAGCAAGUGAGACUGCUGCUCCCUCUGAAGAGAAAAAUGCUGCUCAAUCCCACAAUUCCCGAAGAGCUCCCAAAAACAUGUGGUCCAAGGCUGAGGUUGCUGCAGUGAUGAGGCAUUUUAAAGACCACAUAAACGAAGGGAAACUAGCCACCAAAAAUGAAUGCAGUCAUUGCAAAUUGGUAGAAGAUCCGGUGUUGGCAGGAAGAACAGUUCAAAACAUAAGAGAUUUUGUAAGAAACAGAGGAUUAACUGCAAAAAGGCAGAAAAAAAUGAACUAAAAUAACUGUUUAGCCAGAUGUGGUUUUACAUCUUGGUCAGAUUGCCAAUUGUUGUUAACACUGAUGUUCUGUUUAAAGAAAAAAAAAAGUUCUUGUUAAAUGUUUGUAUUUCAUAAUUUUUACAUUUAAUUUAUUUAGGGUUUUUUUUGACGGGUUAU